GAUGAAGAACGUAGCGAAAUGCGAUACUUGGUGUGAAUUGCAGAAUCCCGUGAACCAUCGAGUCUUUGAACGCAAGUUGCGCCCGAAGCCAUUAGGCCGAGGGCACGCCUGCCUGGGCGUCACACGUCGUUGCCCCCCCAUCUACUCCUUCGGGAUUGCGGGGGGCGGAUGAUGGCCUCCCGUGCGCCUCGUCGCGCGGUUGGCCUAAAUGCCAAGUCCUCGGCGACGCACGCCACGACAAUCGGUGGUUGCGAAACCUCGGUUGCCCGUCGUGUGCGGUCGUCGCGCAUCGAGGGCUCGAAAAAAUUGCCGGGCUUCGGCUCGACUUUCUACGCGACCCCAGGUCAGGCGGGGUUACCCGCUGAAUUUAAGCAUAUCAAUAAGCGGAGGA
rnacentral:misc_RNA from 1 species